rnacentral:rRNA from 1 species
UACGUAGGGGGCGAGCGUUGUCCGGAUUUACUGGGCGUAAAGCGCGUGUAGGCGGCCCGUUAAGUGGGGUGUGAAAGCCCGGGGCUCAACCCCGGGACGCCGCUUCAAACUGGCGGGCUUGAGGACGGAAGAGGGGAGUGGAAUUCCUGGUGUAGCGGUGAAAUGCGUAGAGAUCAGGAGGAACACCCGUGGCGAAGGCGGCUCCCUGGUCCGUCCCUGACGCUGAGACGCGAAAGCGCGGGAGCGAACGGG